rnacentral:pre_miRNA from 1 species
AAUAAAUGCAGCCAUGAGUUUCUGUGUGCAACUUUGAUCGUCCGUCUUAUUUUAAUUUUUUUUAUAACUACUAUUUUUUAUUGUUAUUAGAUUAUAAAAUAUGACUAAUACUUUAUGCGUGAUUUAUGUUUUUAGUUGGACACGGAAACUUGUAACCGCGUUUAUU